UUGGAGGGCAAGUCUGGUGCCAGCAGCCGCGGUAAUUCCAGCUCCAAUAGCGUAUAUUAAAGUUGUUGCAGUUAAAAAGCUCGUAGUUGAACCUCGGGAUCAAUGGAUCGGUCAUGCCAUCGGUAUGUACUGGUCUCAUUGGUUCUCACCUUCUAAGGAACCAUGAUGUCAUUAAUUUGAUGUUGUGGGGAAUUAGGACUGUUACCUUGAAAAAAUUAGAGUGUUUAAAGCAGGCUAACGCUUGAAUACAUUAGCAUGGAAUAAUGAAAUAGGACAUCGCAUUCUAUUUUGUUGGUUUCUAGGAUCGAUGUAAUGAUUAAUAGGGAUAGUUGGGGGCAUUAGUAUUCAAUUGUCAGAGGUGAAAUUCUUGGAUUUAUUGAAGACUAACUACUGCGAAAGCAUUAGCCAAGGAUGUUUUCAUUAAUCAAGAACGAAAGUUAGGGGAUCGAAGACGAUCAGAUACCGUCGUAGUCUUAACCAUAAACUAUGCCGACUAGGGAUCGGAUGAUGUUGAUUUUUUAAUGACUCAUUCGGCACCUUACGGGAAAC
rnacentral:rRNA from 1 species